CCCCGCCGCCGCAGAUCCGGGGCGGUGUAAAGGGGGAGGUGAGGUGGGAGCGGUAUGGUGCGCUCGCUCAACUCCAUCGUGGCCGUGUGCCAGAACAUGGGCAUCGGGAAGGACGGCAGCCUGCCCUGGCCGCCGCUCAGGAAUGAGUACAAGUACUUCCAGAGGAUGACGAGCACAUCCCACGUGGAAGGUAAACAGAAUGCACUGAUAAUGGGUAAAAAAACCUGGUUCUCCAUUCCUGAGAAGAAUCGUCCUUUGAAAGACAGAAUUAAUAUAGUGCUCAGCAGACAGCUCAAGGAAACCCCAAAAGGAGCACAUUAUCUUUCCAAAAGUCUGGAUGAUGCUUUAGAUCUUUUGGAUUCGCCGGAGUUAAAAAGUAAAGUAGACAUGGUUUGGAUCGUUGGAGGCACUUCAGUUUACAAGGCAGCAAUGGAGAAGCCAAUUAAUCAUCGGUUGUUUGUGACAAGAAUUUUGCAGGAAUUUGAAAGUGACACAUUUUUUCCAGAAAUUAACUACAAAGACUACAAACUUCUCACAGAGUACCCAGGUGUCCCUGCUGAUAUACAAGAAGAGAAUGGCAUCCAGUACAAAUUUGAAGUGUAUGAAAAAGCUAUCUUGGCACAAUAAAUGAGACUUUCUCUACUUCUCUGUAAGGGCAGGCAUUUUAAAUCAUGAUGUCUUAUUAAGUACAAAUAUAUAUUAAAUUACUCAGAGGAAGUCCUGCUUGAUAGUACAAUACCUCAGUAGUGAAUGAUUCCAAAAAACACACCACACAAGCUGAGCAUACACUCUGCAGUGGAAAUACAAAGGUGGUCAUCAGCAUGAAAGAGCAAGCUCUAAACUUGCAUGAGACCUUGUAUUGAUUUUUACAUUCUGUGAAAGCAUCCCAAACAAUUCCAUGAGCGAUGAAAGGUGUUAGAGUGUGUCAGAACAUUUCUACCUGAACAACAGUUUUGAGUAUUUCCUAAUUCAAAAAGUCUAGCAUUGAGAAGGCCUAAAAAUUCCUAAGUUUGACUGGGAUGGUAUAUACAUUUAUAACAAUCCUUAAAACAUACCAGUAUAGAGGAAAAGGUAAUGAAGUUUGAAAGCAUAGCAAGAAAAAUUGAGUCUGGAAGUCUCAGGCAGCAUUUGAGGGAAACGUUGAUCCUUCAUGGAAGUCCUUUCUUGUCAUCUUAACCAUCUUGGGUACACAGCCUACUUCAAGAAUUUUGGCUGAAAACACUGACUUACAAAUUAUUCUGGUAGAGAAUUUUUAAUGGUUCCAUUGCUGCUCUUGUAAAAAGUUGCUAUGUCAGUUUGGCUGUGGCUACUUUGCAGUUACACAAACAUUGCUUUCUUAACAGUAGAUGUAUUUUUAUGUCCUUUCUAAAGGUUAUCAGUGCAGAUGCAGUGUAUUAGUUAAUUUGCAUGGUUUUGAAUAUUCUGUGUGUCAUACAAAUAUGGAUUAUAAGCAGAUAGGGAAUUCCUGUUUCUUCUUCCGUUACAUAUAGCUGGUAUAAUAGUGCUUUGCAUUACUGUUCCCUAAAAGUAGCAAUCAAUAUACUGGUACUGUAGUAACACAGUGAUUCUAGUGGCGUAUAAUGCCCAGUGUUGACCAAAGUUUGUUAUUGCCAGUGUUAUUGCAACCUUGUCAGUAAUCUUAGUCUGUUGCUCUGUUCUGACUGAGUAGAGUUUGUCUGUCAGGAGAGGACUCCCUUUAUGAAGUGAUACAAGUUGGAGCUGGGGUGUACCAUGCCCAUCAAUAUCUCUGUGUGCUGCAGCUGCCACCCUGGGAGCAACCACCUACAGGGAGGGGAGUCCUGCUUUCCUGUCACUAUGGAUCAGUCUGAGACCAGAUAAGUGGGAAAAAAAGUUUUAAAAUAACUCUGCUGACAGUUUCCCCAAAGCGUUUUAAAAGCAUUGCCUUAUGAAGCAGGAAUGCAGGAGAUUCAAGUAGAGAUGCUUGUCAUUUAAUGUCACACUGAGACCAGGGAGGGCAGCACUGGCUUUACACAGGUUUACACAGGUACAGAGGAGCAUAACAACACCCAGUUUUCUCAUAGAACAUUAAACACUGAUUUUGCUUCGUUUUGAAAAAAUAAGCCUUUUUGAUAGGACAGAAACACUUGGAAUACCAGCUUUGAGCACCUCUUGAAUUUUCCAUGGUGAUUUACAACAUUUAGUGGUAAAAAGAUAAUUUCUGCAGCAUCUGUUCUGGGUCAUCUCAGGUUUUACUGUGUUCCUUUUGCCUUCUUAAAAAUGUGAGUACUUUCCUGUGUCGAUCUUGCCCCAUGUGUGCUGACUUUACAUCAGUUAAUAAAGUUUGAAACAACGAAGUUAUACACUUGCAUAAUACAGCAAAAAGGCUCCCAGUUUUAAUUUGCUGGCAAAUGGUGAAAGGGAAGGAAAGACUGUUACCAGGGGAAUGUUACUUUUUUAAACCAUGUAAGUCACAGUGACCCUUACAAGAGAAAAUGACCUCAUGAAAGUGUUUAAUAUGUACCACUUAGUAUCAAAAGCCAGGUCACCCUUGAAAGCUCUGCAUUGCUAAUCUGCGAAGUACUGUGCUUAUGGCAACUGAUGUUUGUUUAAAGUGGAAGCAAAGAAAGGACUUCAUGCAGUGUUAGUGUACAUUGCAAUACUGAUGUGACUAUAUGUUAAAAAAUUUCCCCUUAAGCAUACAUUGCAGGGGACACAGUUCACUGAGGCCAAAACGUUUUGUACAACCACUUUGGUUGCAAAGAACUUUUAUUUGGGUACAAACGAACCUAGUGGGAAUCUUAAGUAGUUACUCUGACUCUUUGUGGACUGACUUAAUCCUCUUGAGAUUUAACUACAUUUGUCAAAUUGUACAACAAAUUAAGUCAGUUUGUGAUUCAUGGAAAUAACACAGCAGUUUUCUACUUAAAACUUUUCAGAUCAUAUUAAUGAUGUGGUUUCUUCAGUAUGCCGCUCUGCCAAAAGGAUGCGUUUUGGUUUGGGUUUUGUUUUAUUAAAAGCACUGCAUUUGGACAGCACCUUUUUGCAUUAGAGCCUUUCAAUAUGCUGUACAGAUUCCAAUCAGGAAUUAGGAAAAUGCAUUGGAUUGGGUCCAAAAGAUAUGUGUUCAUCCUAACAACAGAUGUACCAACCACUACAAGAUUUGAUGCAUACUGUUUCAAGAAGACGCAUAGGCAGCAGGGUGUAGGUCCAUGUGUUCAGGAAGCACAUACACAGGCGAUUUGCUGGCAGGUGUGCUAUUUCCAGAGGAUGGUUAUUUCUGCAUUUUGUGAAGUCUGUGCCCUUUUAGAGGUACCUCAGAUUGUUCAUCCAGAAACCGAGAUGAGAGAAAUAGUUGCUGCUUUCUUCUGAAGGCUGAAGUUGCUAACUGGAAUUUGGGUGGUGCCUUUUUCAAAAGUGGUGCUCUACUGGGCGGCAGGUUGGCUGAGGAAGCAACAGAUACAAAAUAAGUGUUUGUUGCUCACCUGAAUUGGGCAUCACACUUGUUACCUCUCCAUUUAGGUUUCCCAAGGGAAAUAUGCAUAUUUUAUACUAUGAGUUGAAGAAAAAAAUGCUUUGUUCCAAUUCCCACAUUUUAUUUACUCCUGUAGCUCACUGAUUCCAUGAAAAAACAUAGAUUCCCAUUAUGUCUAAUAUGGAGGGAAAUGUCAUGUUUUUCCUCAGUUGCAUGAAGCUAAGUGCGAUGAAUGAGUGAAUAUAAUUGCCAAUCAUCAAGAAAAGUAUAGUAGAGAUAUAAUGUAAUCUCACUCAUUCAUCCUUUCCCAGGAACAUAGUAUUCUAAAUAGAUAAAUUAUUUUUAAGGAUAAUACUAGUUUUAGCAAGUUAGUUAAAUCCAGAGAGUCUGGAUAAGAGGUGAAAAACAAGCCAUUAAUGGUUUUGUUCCUUUACUAAUACUCAUUAUCUCUUACCUGACAGUGAAUAGCAAUUUCCACUUGGCAGUAGAAAGCUGAUGUUUUCAGUAGCAUUACAGCCAUAAUGUGUUCAAGAACAGAACUGGGAACGUUCCAACCACAAAUCUCUGUCAUGGAGAGCAAUCCAUGGAGAAGAAAGACCAUUUCAUCUCCUUUCACAUAACAUCAAGGCAAAAUUUUUACAAGAAGUCUUUGAAUAAGCUAAUUGCUGUGAUUGGAACAGACGAGCUUUCAGGGAGAGUCUUUUUCUGGUUACAUUCUCAAAACUUAUUUUCAGAUUACUUGAAUAAGUGCUUAUGUGCCAGAACUUGCCUGUUUAUCUCCAAUUAAGUUCAGUGUUUUAAUUGGAUUAUCUCACUGUGUAUAUCUUGGUUCGCUUCUAUUUUUUUAUGGUCCUGGCUUCAGCAUUUGUGUAUCAUGUUCAGUCGCUAUUAAACUGUAGUCCUCUCAAUUCUGUGCCUUAUCUCUUCAGUUGUUCCCUGGAUUGGAUAUUUACAGAAAUUCAGAGAAUUGUUAUGAUCAAGAAAAGCAGAUAUUUCAAACAGUGCUCUUCAGUAUGUGCUUGUCUGAUUAAGGAGCAGUAAUUGUUUUUCCUGAAAUCAUGCCAUGUAUUUGCCUGGUUAAGGAAAGCUUCAGGUAUGAAAUUAAAUUUUUGCUAAAUUAUGUCUGCUAUGAAAAGAACAGACAGGAAAAAAAAAAUACAGAAUUUGAGGGGAAGAGAACGGUACACUGUUACCCAUGGAAGCCUCCAUCAAUGACGUUUUCCUUCACAGUUCAGUUUAGUGAACUCCUAAUUCCUAAACAGAAUCUUUUUUAGUAAACAAGCCAUUACACAGAAGUCACUUUGGCUAUAAAUUGCGUCAUUGAUUUAAUUGUGAAGGGCAUUUGCACAAAAAACAGAGUGCUUUCUCCUUAGAAAUAACAUGCUUUUAAUGUUCAUGUCUCCUCUGAAAAAAACUGUUUUUCCACACAAAACCCUCCUGGGAGCACUCACAUGUGUUUCAGAGAGCUGUACUAGUUGAUGAAUUACUGGUCCUUGCUGGAGAUCCCUGCUCCACCUCUUAGCUGGCUGAAGGGAUUAUGCCUAAUGCACUUCCAGCAGAGCCGGGUGGGUUCAUUUAAAUAUCCAGUGAAGAGUGAUUUCAACUGAACAAAAUGAAAGGAAAAAGAAAACAAAGUAAUCCUUCAGCAGUGGGGCCAGGAACACCUAGUGAUGGACAGCGGAGUCACUCACUUCAGCUAGACCUAACUGAGCAGCUUUAAAACCUGGAAUAAUUUGACAUCAGUGGUCUGUGGACAUGCUCCACAGAGGAGCACACCUCACAUACCCCAGAACCUGUGCUUGAAGGAUGCCUGCUCUAAACCAAGAGCAGAACAUCUCACUGGGUUACUACAUUCUGUUCCCAUCCUUGCAGUAAAGAGAAAAAUAUUAAGUACACCUCUCAUGUAAAAGUAACUUAAAAUAGAUUAGCUCAACUCAACAACUAAAUUCCACUGAAGCUUGUGUGGUGUAUUAAGGAGCACUUCAGAAGCUUUUGAAUUUUUCAGUGCUGUAUCAGGUUUUUAAAUGCAGUAAAAAAAACCUCCUGAAAGCUAUGUCUUGUUAAAUGAGCUUGAAAGAGAGCAUUCUCAAACGCUACUUCACUGUACCUCAUCUUCUUAGGUUUUGUUCAGAAAGGUUAAAAUUUUAUCUGUUCCCAUCAAGAGCUGUAGAUGGAAAAACUCAUCAAUUUAACCUACCUAAGUUUAGAAAGAAUUAAUUUCUCUAAUUUUGAAUUCAAUUUUUCUCACGUUUGCUGUAUAGGCAAUCCAUUCUUCUGGAGUUCUUUACUCUCUAAGUACUUUUGUGGGUAUUGCUGUUUCAAGUCAGUCAAAAUUGAUUUCUUCAGAGUAUUGAGCCUCAGCAUCCUUCAUCAAAUUGUAGUUUUCUUUCAGAUGAAAUCAGGUAGGUGCUCUUCCUUUUGUCCCACAGCAGUUACACCAUUGUUUACUGCACUAUUCACUGUGGGUUUUUUCUAGUAUGUAACACAUAGAGUCAUAGAACAGUUUGGGUUGGAAGCCAACCUUAAAGAUCUUCCAGUUCCAACCCCCCUGCCAUGGGCAGGGACAUCCCACUAGACCAGGCUGCCCAAGGCCU